AGAUUGAACGCUGGCGGCAUGCCUUACACAUGCAAGUCGAACGGCAGCACGGGAGCAAUCCUGGUGGCGAGUGGCGAACGGGUGAGUAAUACAUCGGAACGUGCCCAAUCGUGGGGGAUAACGCAGCGAAAGCUGUGCUAAUACCGCAUAAGAUCUACGGAUGAAAG
rnacentral:rRNA from 1 species